UUUUAUUUUUUAUUUUAUUUUAUUUUUUGUUCUUUCCGUUUCUGGUUUUAUCCCAUUAUUAUUUUCUGUUAUCCUCAUCUCUUUAAUGGGUCUCUGUUUAUAGACUAACGUUUCUGUACAAUUCCAAUCUGAUUUUAUCUUUUCUUGCAUUAUUUGAGGAAAAUUUGAAAAAUAAAAUUGUUGUUUUGAUUUCUUGAUUCUGUGUUCAGCUGUCGAUUUCAAAUAAAUAAAAUUUUAUAUUCUAUUUAAAGGUUAUUUUUUAUUUUCUUAUGGCUGCGGUUGCUGAGAUCACUGGUGACGCUGCAGCGGCUGCCAAUACUAAUAAUAAUAUCAACACCACCACCAAGAAUUUGGAUUCCGAUGGGAAGCCAAAAUCGGAAUCCGAAUUCAGUGUUUUAAAGCUUGUGGAUUUGAUCACCAAAUUGAAUCCGUUGGCAAAGGAAUUUUUUCCUUCUUCUUACAAUAACAAUAAUAAGACCCAAAACAAUCUUCAUCUCAGUGAUUUUGCUGUGCCCAAUAAGCAGCCGGGCAAUGACAAUUUCCCCACUAAUCAAAGGAGAAGAAACAACUAUAAUCAGGGGAAGAGGCAGUUGAAUGGGAGAGCUUAUAGAGCGCAACAGGAGGAUGGUAUUAGACGAACAGUAUAUGUUUCCGACAUUGAUCAGCAUGUAACUGAAGAGAGGCUUGCUGGCUUGUUUAGUAGUUGUGGACAAGUUGUUGAUUGCCGAGUCUGUGGAGAUCCACAUUCAGUUCUCCGUUUUGCAUUUGUGGAGUUUGCUGAUGAGCAAGGUGCAAGAGCAGCUUUAAACCUCGGUGGGACGAUGCUAGGUUACUAUCCAGUUAGAGUCUUACCUUCAAAAACAGCCAUCCUUCCAGUGAAUCCUACAUUUCUCCCUAGGUCAGAAGAUGAGCGGGAGAUGUGUACCAGGACAGUAUACUGUACAAAUAUUGAUAAAAAGGUUUCUCAGGCUGAAGUAAAAAAUUU
rnacentral:misc_RNA from 1 species